rnacentral:rRNA from 1 species
CACCCAGACUCCUACGGGAGGCAGCAGUGGGGAAUAUUGCACAAUGGGGGAAACCCUGAUGCAGCAACGCCGCGUGAGUGAAGAAGUAUUUCGGUAUGUAAAGCUCUAUCAGCAGGGAAGAAGAUGACGGUACCUGAUUAAGAAGCCCCGGCUAACUACGUGCCAGCAGCCGCGGUAAUACGUAGGGGGCAAGCGUUAUCCGGAUUUACUGGGUGUAAAGGGAGCGUAGACGGCAAGGCAAGCCAGAAGUGAAAGGGCAGGGCUCAACCCUGUACAUGCUUUUGGAACUGUGGUGCUAGAGUGCAGGAGAGGUAAGUGGAAUUCCUAGUGUAGCGGUGAAAUGCGUAGAUAUCAGGAGGAACACCGGUGGCGAAGGCGGCUUACUGGACCAUAACUGACGUUGAGGCUCGAAAGCGUGGGGAGCGAACAGGAUUAGAUACCCCGGUAGA